UAUUCAAUCACUUAAUCUAAAGUUGUUAUUUGCAAUUUGCUGAAUGGCUACAACCAACACAUUCGAUGUCAUGUCCCUUAAUCUAAAGUUAAUGUUUAAUAAUUCUGUAGGGUUCACAAGCAUAACAAUUCUAGAGGCUUCUAAUGUUUCUACACCGUGCUAUAAGAUUGGUAAAUCUCUAUGUCCUCUCUCCAGCAGCCCCUCCCCUCUCCCAGCAACCCCCUUCCCUGCCUAGCACUAAAUGUGUAGCAAAUUACAAACAGCAGUGCAUUAGCAUUGGCUAGCCUCACAAUACAUUAAAAGUCAAGUUGCUAUUCAACCUUCAUUGUAGUGAAGCAAUUCUUAACUAGGUAAACAAAGGAACUACUCCAGAGUCCAGAUGCGUUGUGGCAGCAAUAUGCAUAAUCAGUAAUCACACCACCUAGCUGCCCACAAACAAGCUUUACAUCAACAGAAAAUUGUCUUCCAUGUGAGACAACAAUUUUUUUUGAGAUAAAUGUGAGACAAUUCGACACAGAAGCCAUGAACCAUCCUGACAAGCAAUGCCAACACUACAAAUCAAAUUACCAAGCCAUCGAUUGAACAGGAGGAAAAACCUCUGACUCCUAACAACUUGAUGAAUCUACAAGCGUAGCACGCGAAUUAGGCGGAAAAUCCAGCGGGCGGCUGGUGUACCCUUACCCCGGUGUAGGCGUCGAUGGCGGCGUUGAUGCGUUCCUCCUUGAAGAAAGUGUUGCCCUCUUGCUUUAGCAGGUUCGCCUGCUGCUUCGACGCCGCCAGGGACAUCUCCCUCGCCUCGAGCUCGCUACGAGGAGGAAGGGGGAGGCGCGAUUUGAUUCAAAAAAUCCCAACUAACCGAAUCCGAUCCUAACCGCUGGCCCUAACUCCCCUCUCUAUUUAAAGCCACCUCCCCCAACCCGUCCGCCGAGUGCUCUUUUCCGCCGCCUCCUUGCCCUAGCUAACCACUCCGCCGCCGCCAUCGGAGCACCGAGCUCGAGCUUGGGGAAGCCGUCGAAUAGCGCCGCUCCGCCCGAUCUAAGCUCGCCCUCGGCACAAAGAGCUUUUCUGCACGCUUCCCCGCUCAUCGGUUUUUCUUCUCCACCGCCAGACCACCACCUCCGCCGAGAUUUCUUCCUAUCGCCCUCCUUCUUUGUCAGGUGGCUGUUCGUUGAAGGCUAUUUGAUAGAAAAUAUUCGCUAUACAUAGUUGGUUGUAGGUUGUAUGUUUUUUAUUCUUAUUUGUUAUGUAGACAACCAUUAAUUCAUCAAGAUGAGAUCAUUUUUAGCUUCAGGUUUUUUUUAAGUAGGAUAUUAUUUAGACAUGUUCUCGCUAUUGCAUUAGUGGAAAUUCAAAAGGGAGUACAACCUUUAGCCAUCUCUCCGCACAUGAGUGCAAACGCUAUUGCCUAUGGCACCUUUUCAUGCAUUUCAUCUUAUGCCUUUUCAUGCUUUUCAUCGUCGCGAGUUUGUACAGGAAACAAGAGCUGGAACUAGAGUUAUGUCGCUGCAUAACAAACCCAAGAAGGCUCUAUCGAAUGGAAUUGUCCCGCAUGAUUAUAUUUGCACAAAAAAUGAUCUUGAUAUUAUUCUACCAAUUAAAAACAUGCCUUCUUUACCUGGAAAAGAAGUACUUGUGCUCAUCGAUGAUGCUCUCGUAGACAGGAGGCAUUUGGAAUGCCUUUUCCAACCGAGUGCAUUUUUGAAUGAUGAGGUCAUAAAUGCAUGCAUUUGCUUAUUAAGGGCUCAAGAGCAUCUACAACAUAAGUCCGGUAGUACAGUCUACCUUAAGACUACUUAUGUCUCAACCCUUCUGAAGCGGGAUGGUGAUAAUAACAUUAGAACGGAUGAUCUAUAUGCUGCACAUGACACCAUUGAAAAUAGCACCAUCGAACGAAGGGUGGAAAGAUACUUGGACCAUGACAUGGUAUUUAUUCCAAUAAACAUCAAGGGAAUCCACUGGUAUCUUGCUGUGAUUGACGCCAGAAAAAGUGAGAUACAUGUGCUCGAUUCGAUGGGUCCCGUAUAUGAUCGCGAAGACCUCAGUACCACUCUAAACGGAUUGCAGAGGCAAAUAGACAUUGUAUCGCAGCUCAAGGAGCUUAAAAACCACAAGUGGCAGAACCUUCGGGUUGCUUCAUGGCCGGUUAGACAGAUACAAUUCGAAAAGAUAAUGUAGACGGACAGCUGUUCAUGCGGUCUUUUCAUGUUAAACUACAUGGAAUACUGGACAGGGGAUGUGUUGUCCGACAAUAUAACUCAGGAUGAUAUGAUACAAUUCAGGACAAAAUUAGCUGCUAUUUUGUUAUCAUCAGAACUAAACAAGAGGAAAGGACAUCCGUUAGUCGAAGAGAACGAUGAAGAAAGUGGAAGUCCAGAUGAUGUUGUGAUGCUAAAAAAUCCCCCUAAUCUAUGCAAAAGGUCACAACAAUCCGUUCAGUUUAAAGUCAUAAAUACAAAUGAGUCUGCCGAUGAAACUAGAGACCAGUCCUCAUUGUGUGCCCUUUCCAUGGUGGACAUGCCGAUAGGCAAAAAAGAACUGACAGACGUCGUAUGCAAUUAUAUCAUGCCAGUUGAUGAUGCUGAGACAUUAGAGACACAAUGGGUGCAAAGUUUGAAGCCUUACCUAAUUUGCUUAAGUGUCAAGCAACUCCAAGCAUCAUUAAAGAUGGAUCAACCCAUGUCCAACGCUUGUUUCAACAUGGGUGUUCGGAUUCUCACAUACACAGAAUACAAGAUGUUGAAAAGUUCCAAGAAAAUGGUUUCAAAGCACUAUAUGGACCUGCAAUUCUGCGUGAGUUUUUAUAUUCUCCUAGGAGGGCGCUGUGAUCCAGCGGGUGGUCCAUGAGGUGGGCAGCGGGACUAGCUACCCCGUCCUCACCAAGACCAACUACUCUAAUUGGGCGCUCAUGAAAGUGAAGCUCAAGGCCCGGGCGCUCUGGACCGCCAUUGACAAGGGCAGGGUCGAUCCCCAGGAGGACAUGAUGGCGCUCGAUGCUCUCUGCAGCGUCGUGCCUCCGGAGAUGGUGUCCGCAGUCGCCGACAAGGAAACAGUGAAGGAGGCUUGGGACACUAUCGCAACAAUGUGGGUGGGCGACGGUCGCGUGAGGAAGUCAACCGCCCAGCAACUAUGGCGGCAAUUCGACUUGGCGGCAUUCAAGGACGGCGAGAGCAUAGAGGACUACUCGCUCUGCCUGAGCGGCAUGGUGUCCACCCUUGCGACGCUCGGCGAGACCCUGGAGGAACCCAAGGUUGUGGAGAAGAUGCUCCGCAGCGUGCCGUCUCGAUUUAAGUAGAUCGUGCUUGCGAUCCAGACGCUGCUCGAUCCGGCCACGCUCACCCUCGCCGAUGUGACUGGACGUCUGAAGGCCGUCGAGGAGGCGUUUGAGCCACCUCCACCGACGAUGCAGCACGAUGGCAAGCUGUUCCUAACGGAGGAGGAGUGGGACGCGCGGCGGAGGCAGCGCAAGGGCGAGAACCAGGCCAGCGGCGCACGAGCAAGAAGCUGGUGCAUCGUGACAAAGGACACGGGUGCGGACGCGAGCGCUUGAACGAAGGGGGCAGGGCGUCGUUUUCCUCUGGACCGAAGGCCUCUGACCAAUGCCGUAGCUGCGGCAAGCUUGGGUACUGGGCUCGGGACUACAAGUCUAAGGGAAAGAAAGAGCAGGCUCAUGUGGCCCAGGAGGAGGCCUCUUUGCUGCUAGUGCAGGUGGAUGUCUCUCGACUUCCCACAUCACUGCCGCCGCCGCGUACGACUCCAUUCCCUCCACUGCCGACCGCGCCUUCGUCCGCCCUGUUACAGCUCCCCCUGACGUCCACCCCGCCGUAGCUCGUGCUGAUGUUCGUCCCAAGCGGAGCCUGCAUGUAGCCACCCUCGUCGAUAGCUGCUCUGGCUGGAUCCAGCUCGUCA